GAUGAACGCUGGCGGCGUGCUUAACACAUGCAAGUCGAACGGAAAGGCCCUGCUUUUGUGGGGUUCUCGAGUGGCGAACGGGUGAGUAACACGUGUGUAACCUGCCCUUGUCUUUGGGAUAACUUCAGGAAACUGGGGCUAAUACCGGAUAGGAGCUCCUGCUGCAUGGUGGGGGUUGGAAAGUUUCGGCUGUUGGGGAUGGACGCGCGGCUUAUCAGCUUGUUGGUGGGGUAGUGGCUUACCCAGGCUUUGACGGGUAGCCGGCCUGAGAGGGUGAACGGCGACAAUGGGACUAAGGGAGGGACCAGACUCGAAUGGUAGGCAGCGGUCGGGAAUAUGGCACAGUGGGCGGGAGCGUGAGGCGGCAGCGUCGGGUGAGUAAUGACGGCCUUCGGGGUGUGAACCGCUUUCGCCUGUGACGAAGCGGGAGUGACGGUAAUGAAUAAAGAAGCACCGGCUAACUACGUG
rnacentral:rRNA from 1 species